rnacentral:misc_RNA from 1 species
AGGGUGAUAUAGUUGCGGGAAAAAUCUCCCGCGCUGCGUAGUCUUUGACGUGACAUCUGCAUGCUUUGAAAGUCCUUUGUCCAUGCGCAUAGCCAGCUGUUUUAGUACACGUUUGCACAAUUUACAUAUACAACUUACAAGACACAACAAGUUGGACACGCGCUCUCUGCAUGGUCAGAUAAGAUCACAAUCACAAAGGUCAAUUAUUUUGACAGAUUGAGAUUGUCACGCUGCCCGCCGACGUUGUCGCAACCCGCGAUCGCACGUGUGGCAAGUAAUCUGCAGUCAUUUUCUGACCUGAAAACCUGCGACCAUGGGAGAUUUUAUAAAGAUUGAAGAUGAAGACAAGGGCUACAAUCUGAACAUGUUUUGUGUGCCUCGGCAUUACGAGCAGGAUUUGGAAUCCAUUCUUAUUCCACAUGGCAUCAUUCUAGAUCGGACAGAGAGACUGGCACGAGACAUCGUGAAGGACAUGGGUGAAGACUCGCUUGUCGUACUCUGCGUCUUGAAAGGAGGCUACAAGUUCUGCUCAGAUCUUUUGGAUUACAUCAAGGCCUUGAACAGAAACUCUGAGAGAUCAAUACAGCUUAUCGUUGACUUCAUACGUCUGAAAAGCUAUGAGAAUGACCAAUCAUCAGGUGAUAUUAAAGUCAUUGGUGGAGACAGUCUCUCGAACCUUCAAGGCAAAGAUGUCCUCAUUGUUGAGGACAUUGUUGAUACAGGGAAUACCAUGAAGAAACUACUACAGGUGAUUGGAGAUAACAAGCCAGCUAGGGUCAAGGUUGUCAGUCUGCUGGUGAAGAGGACGCCAAGGAGUGUUGGCUACAGGCCAGACUACAUUGGUUUUGAAGUUCCUGAUAAGUUUGUUGUUGGCUAUGCACUGGACUACAACGAAUACUUCAGAGAUUUAGGUCACAUCUGCAUCAUCAACGAUGAAGGAAAGAAGAAAUAUGCCGUUUAAAGUGGGCAACCUUUCUUCAGAGGAUACUUAUUGUCUGGUGUUACUGUGGCAGUCCCACAGGAGAAGAAUGGUGUAUAGACUGAAUUUAGAGCAGAGCACCCCUUCAGUGGAACCAUUUCAGACUUAUAGUUAAAG